GCACGGGCAGGAACGGGGACAAGAGCAGGAGCAAGGACAGGGCAAGGCUCGCUGUCCGCGGCACCCCCGGCCCGGCGAGCCCCGCGCAAGCGCGGUCCGGCGGCGGCGGGAGGGCUGGCGCAGGCGCGGCGGCGGGAGGCGGCGAGUUAGCGGCCAGAGCGGCUGUUCCGUGCAAUGAGUGUGCCGGUCCUUCAGUGCUCUGUGAGGGCUCUUACUGGGACUGGGUGAAUGAGUGACAAAGGAUCAAACAGCAAGGCUUAAUACAGGAGGAAAUGGGAUAGAGGGGGUCUUCAGACACCCCGCUACGUCCCUUACCCAUUGUUGAGGAAGUCUGGUCCCUGCAGCUAAGCUCGCAAGCCGCGGAUUGAAAUGCAGAUGGAGCUCUGGGUGGGAGCGCGAGACAAGGGGCCGUGAACUGCCAACCUCCGGGAUCAGAAAGGCCUCGACGUCAGCCAGGUGAAUGGACACGGUGAGACCCGGCAGGAGCAGGGAGUUGCCGGCCUGUCGGAUAUCGAAGGAGAUGAAGGCCGGUGACGCUGGCGAGGUGGAUGGACAGGGAGAGGGGCGCAGGAGCCGAGACGUGUGCGCGGGGAGACUUGAGUGGAUAAAGCCCCAGUGGUCCCCUGUGUAAGUGCCCUACUCGGAGGUACCAGCUCGAGCUGUUUCUGUGUUACUGCAGAGGAAUACAUGGCUUCGUGGAACGAGACAUCUGAUACUCUGCUGUGGACAACUUGGGGUCGAACCGACUUCUCUUAGAAGAAAGGCAAGUUUUUAUUACGGGAUGGCAACAUGGAGUAAACACAAGACAUCUCUAUGCUCUUCUCAGGAGGAAGUAUUGCAUCUUAAGUCCUUUUUCAAGUGGACACAUGCUCAGCCACAAAUAGUUUUGUUUUUACAGGUCACUCUCUAGCCAACACCAGGAGACCGUACAGUCCAUGUUAAAUGUUUCAGAAUGGUAUCAGUAAAACCCCUGUGAUUAGAAUCAGGUUUAGUUGGUAGUGACUUUGGUAACUCAUUAGGCUAAAAUUUGAUUUUAAAAUUUUAAGAUAAGGAGGUGCUGAUGGGGCCAAGUAGUCAUAUAGGCACAACAGGAACUGUUCAUUCAUUAUUAGCCAAAAAAAGUUGCAAAAUAAAUAGCUAGAAUCAGUCGCUAAACCAGUUGUCAGCUGUUUGUGUUGAUCUUUGUUCAUACUAUUUCUUUAAUCUUGUUGGCUCAUGAUGCUGUUGAAGAUAUGCAAGUGUUUGGUUUUAGUUUCAAUCCAUUCCUAUUUUUAUUUUUACAGUGCCUUUUAGGUCUUUGGGUGUCUUUUUUUAAACGUUGAUAUUUUCUAUUCUCUUACUUUGUUUGUUCAGUGUUCUCUGUGCAGCUUAUCUGUAGCUUUCUCAAUAUCAUCUAGUAACUACUGUUUCUUUUCCUGUCUGCAUGAAAUAUUUCAUUUGUGUUCUGAUAGUCUGUGUACCACAGGAAGAUUUUCAAAUAGGGCUUAAGUGUGACUUAAGUGUUGCAUAAGCCUUGGUAUUUGGGUUAGUCUGCUGAAGGUACACCUUUCCUUCAGUGUAGUUCACUGUAGCUGGAUAACUUAGCUCAUAAUCUUUGUAUAGCUGAGGUACAAAAUGGCAGUCUAAAAUUCCCCUUUUCCAAUACCUGUUUUCCCCCCUAUUAGAUAACCCAGUAUAUCUUAUUUACCAGGAAGGAAAAGUGUCAGUAAAGAGUUGUUGGGGUGAUAACCAUAUGCUGUUAAUUACCUGGUUUAGUAGACCUGCUUUGUAACUACUGUAUUUGUAGAAGGGGUGGUACAACUCAGAAAAGCUGUCUGGGAGGAUUGCAUUUCUUGACAUUGCCAACUCAGAGGCUUUGAAGAGGACUGAGUAGUUACACGCAUUCUGCAGACUGUGACUUCAACAGCUUUUGCUCUAAGUGGAGAGCUGCAACUGUGAGGCUGUUUCUGGCGUGCCACCUCUUUUUAGAGUCAGUGCUGAGUCAAUUGGUGGCAGUUUUACUUGUUCCUAGUCCAAUCUGACACACCGUAUCCCAUGCACAUAUGCACAUGGUAGGAUUAACAACUAGCUUUCAGUUGAGAAUGUGGAAGGGGUUUCUUUUGGCAUCCUCUAACUAAUGAACAAGAAAUGUUAUUUUCAAUACAGUAAGAGAGUUACUGUGUAAUAUAAGGGCCUUAUUAGCAUAUUCAAAAUGGCAGAGAUGCACUGACUUACGCCUUUUGGGCAACCAAUAUACAGCUAUCUUAAAGUUAACUCAGCGUGUUGUCGCGGAGCCAGGUAGGCCGUAAUUGGAUUUGUUAGGUUAGGUUACAUUUUAAUUGACAAAAAUGCAAAAUAAAAUUUUUGUCUUCCUUCUUUUAAUUAAACUACGUAGAAAUUAUAAACCAUAAGAAAGCAAGAAAUGUCUGCUAAAAGUAGAACUGUUGAAAAUUGAUUUCAGUUCCCAAACAUCGUGGUCUAACCCCAGACACUGAGGUACCACACAGCUGCUUUGAUCACUACCCCCUGCACCUCCCUUGCCCCCAGUGGGAUGGGGAGGAGAAUUUAAAAAAUAAAAAACCCUAACUCUUGGGUUCAGAUCACAGAAGUUUAAUAAUUGAAACAAAACAAAAAGUAGUAAGAAUUCCCUGUCCAGCUGCUGGGAAAGUUCACAAACCUGCAGACAUGAAGAAAAAAAAAGGAACGCAGCGUGAUCUAAAGGCAGUGAAUUCUGUGAAAAGCCCGAAAGGGGGUGGCCGGGGAGACUAUAUUCAUCAUCUACUGGCUCAGUACUAGAAACAAAGUACAACCAGGCUCCUCUUUUGCAGCAAGAACAGCUUUCACAUCAUUUGUGACAGGAUUCCUCAGGUUCCCAUCCCUUCUGAGUUCCUCAUGCAGAACUGCUACAAGCUUCUGGACUCCAAAGGAAUCACUGCAAAGGCAGUGAGCGAUUCUACAGUUGUCAGGGGUGGCAAAAUACAGUGGAAGGACUAUGCGAAUUGGAGGAAGGAGUGCUACCCUAAAAACAACUAAGACUGAGAGAAGACAACAGGACCCAGGCUGAAGACUUUAAUACAGAGACUUUUUGGGCUAAACCUAUUGUUAGGUUGAUGCCUCUGUUCAGGGGACAUGUGCAGACAUGUUCCCCUGUGUUGUUGAAGGACUUUCACCUGUGGACUUUUUGCCAUUCUUUCAUGGGACAAUUUACAGUAGUGUAUUUUGUCCCACUUCAUUAUAUGUUUUACAUAAAUAUUCUAAUAUGUGGUUGGUAGUUACAAAACCCAGUUUUAAGAUUGUUUUCCCCUCAGAAUGUUAUAAACUUUAUUCCUAUAUUCUGAUUGGCUGUUGUUUGCUGCAUUGCGGAGGUUUCCCCUAUUUGCAUAUGUUCCACCCAUAUUUUCCUUAUAUGGUUUUGUACCCUCCUCCUUAUGCCCAAGUUUGCAUAAUCCCUCCUAAUUUCUUCCUUAUAUGGAAAACUCCUCCCCUUUUUCCUGAAUGUUCCAAAGCUCCCUCUAUAAAAGAGGGAGCUGUCCUUUCAAUAAAGGCUCAUUUUGCUUCAA